UUUCAGAUGGUAAAGGGUCAGAUGUGGUUGUGUUUGGUUCUUCUGUGGGUGAUGAGGUGACUUCUGGUUCAGGUAUGGAUUGUGUUGGCUGUUGAGAGGCCAGGGCAUGUGUUUGGAGCUGAGCCAGAGUUGGGGAGUGAGGGUCAGAUGGUUUAGUAUCUGAGGAAAGAUUAUAGUAGGGUGGUGAUUCUGGAGAGGAAGAUGAAGAGGGUGAGGUUGUUU
rnacentral:lncRNA from 1 species